GGACUACUAGGGUUUCUAAUCCUGUUUGCUCCCCACGCUUUCGCUGCUCAGUGUCAGUUGCCUUCCAGGUCGCCGCCUUCGCCUCUGGUGUUCCUCCCAAUAUCUACGAAUUUCACCUCUACACUGGGAAUUCCGCGACCCUCUCCGGUACUCAAGCUCGCCAGUUUCGCCCGCACUUUCCAGGUUGAGCCUGGAGCUUUCACAAGCGACUUAACAAGCCACCUACCAGCGCUUUACGCCCAAUAAUUCCGAACAACGCUCGCACCCUCUGUAUUACCGCGGCUGCUGGCAC
rnacentral:rRNA from 1 species